UUACUCACCUUGAGACUUAUAGCAGUAAUGUGCGAAAUUUCAAGCCUUACCACAGUAGAAAGAAAGAACAAUUGCCUUUAAAUGCAAUACCAAAAGAAACAAAAUCCACAGGCUCUAAACACAUACCACCAUUAAGAACCAGGAAGAAACAUGUCCUUGUCCAUACAUAUAUUUAGAGCACAGAAACAACAGAAGGAGAGUUCUAAAAGAGAAAAAAAAAAAAAUCCAGAACCUAAUUUAAACUCGCUGUCAUGAUGAUCAGAUAACUACCUUCAAGCCUUGAGCAUGAGCCUGAGCCUGAGCCUGAGCCUGAGCCUGAAACUCCAGUCCAGAUCAUGUCAUGAAAGCGAAGAGAAAAGAGAGAAAAUGCCAAAGGAUUGAGGUUGCCCUGUGGGAGAAGUUUGUCUCUCCCAAAAUUUUGUCUGACAAAAUCUAUACGUCGCCUUGCAUAUUUAGCCACCUCCCACCACCCACUAAACCAUUACAGCCAUGGUGGGUGAUGUGGGUUCAUAGCUUUUAGCUUGGUGGGGUUCAGGAGGUGGCACCAAUGCUAAGAGAAACACCUAGCCAUCAGCUUGAAGCAGCUCAUAGCAUGCUAUAUAUAUAUAUAUAUAUAUAUAUAUAUAUAAAGAAGUAGAUGGUGAUCAAUAGAGAAUUUGUAGAUAUUUAUAUACUUAUAAUUCUAUAGGUUUCUUCUCCUAUGGGUUAUCAAUGGCCGCAUCUUCCAAGGGAUAUGCUUCAACCACCUCCUCCAUGCUCCACAAAUCAUCACAGCUUUACUUCUUUUUCUGCAUUAUUCUUUUUUCCAUAUAUCUUGCCAUUCUCACAGCUCAACUCUGUAUUCCUCACGCGCUCCAAUGGAUAUGGCCAACAUGGCAAGCCAUGGAGCCAACAAGUGUCGAAAAUGUUCAACCCAUGCAGGCGCGUGAUGACACUGCGAGAUACUGAGAUAGGUCUAAGCUUGUUUCAACGUCUUAUUAUAAUGUUCC
rnacentral:lncRNA from 1 species